rnacentral:rRNA from 1 species
CCUACGGGUGGCAGCAGUGAGGAAUAUUGGUCAAUGGACGAGAGUCUGAACCAGCCAAGUAGCGUGAAGGAUGACUGCCCUAUGGGUUGUAAACUUCUUUUAUAUGGGAAUAAAACAGGGUAUGCAUACCCUCUUGUAUGUACCAUAUGAAUAAGGAACGGCUAACUCCGUGCCAGCAGCCGCGGUAAUACGGAGGAUCCGAGCGUUAUCCGGAUUUAUUGGGUUUAAAGGGAGCGUAGGCGGAUUGUUAAGUCAGUUGUGAAAGGUUGCGGCUCAACCGUAAAAUUGCAGUUGAAACUGGCAGUCUUGAGUACGGUAGAAGUGGGCGGAAUUCGUGGUGUAGCGGUGAAAUGCUUAGAUAUCACGAAGAACUCCGAUUGCGAAGGCAGCUCGCUGGACUGCAACUGACACUGAUGCUCGAAAGUGUGGGUAUCAAACAGGAUUAGAUACCCGAGUAGUC